AUGGUGGGCGCAGUCGUUCAGAUGCCUCGGUCUGGAACUCUAAAUCUAGAGCAAGUGACACAAAGACAGGGGGAUGGCCGAGAUGAUCCCAGCCGCAGUCUGAGUGGCAGCAGCAGUGCCAGCCCCCGGUCACAAUCCGACGGUUCCUGGGGCGAGGCCAGGCUGUGUUCUCAGCUGCCCAGUCUACAUCCGUUCCUGCCCAUUUUCCACACCUGCUUCUUUAACCUUCCUGUCGAUUCUAACCUGAGGCAAAUGGAAUCUUCUCGCCCUGGUGAAGAAAGACGCGUAAAUGUCUUGGAUGGUAUCUUUCCUUCCCUGACUUUGAAGUGAGGCGAAGACAAGCCAAGUGGCCUAAACUGAUAAUAAGCACCCUUGAGUGUGCUGGUAGCUCCGAGUCAACAAGUGUCCAGAACAUCGUGAGUGUUGGGAGACGGGGCUGUGAAGCCGUUUUGGACGGAAAGUCGUGUACAGCAGAGUCAGGUCCAGAAGCGAAAGUCUCAGGAGACGAGGUGACGUUCUGGAGAUCAUCAGGCCGCCGCGGGGAUCUAAAUCCAAGACUCCAACCUUUGCUUCCUUCUCUCUUCCUUCUCUUCCCCCUAACGGUCACCCUGUGGUGUCACUGGUUGGUGGAGGAACGUAGAGGCCCCGAGAAUUAAGGGCAACCCCUUCUGCCUUUGAGGGACUUCCAGUCUAGGAGGGAGGUGAGCGGGUGAAAGGACGAGCGGACGAUCCUUGACAACAUGCUCAGGGGGACGAACAAAGGCUUCCAUGCAAGUCUAACUGCACCCUGGCCUGCACCCUGUGCUUCCAAGGCCCCACCCCUCACCCCCUGUGGGACCUGGGGCAUGUCCCUAACCUCCUGAAGCCCCAGUUUCCUCAUGUGGAGGACCACCUCUUUGGGUCGCCGUGGAAGCAUUCAGUAUAGAGCCGGGCACACAGUCGGUGCUCAGUCGUUGGAAGCAGAAACUCAACCCUCCAGAAACACUACCUCCUCCCCUUAUACUUCCCGUGGGGACCCCGCCAUCUGCAACGUAGAUUGCCACCUGCUUGCCCUUCAGUCCUCGUAAGAGCUUUCACAGCUAACUAGGAAGAUUCGGAGUGAAUAUUCACUGAAGAAGUGGCUUCAGGGUGGAUCAGUAUGAGACCAACAAGCACAGGACACCUCGGAUACGCCCGGGACUGUUCUGGCACCUUGCUGGCCCUGCGUAACCCGUAUAACACGGACGCUGUCUGCACACCAGCUCCAUUAUCAUCUCCAUUUACAGAUCAGGAAACCGGGGUCCAGAGGACGCUGAAUACCUCGCCCCACGUCGUAGGGAGGGCGGGACUCAGCCGGGAUGAGGCCCACUCGGCCGGGCCUGGAGCGGGGCUCUACGCGGACACCGCGGCCCUCACCGACAGGCGGCCUGACGAAUGGAUCUCGGGAUACGGGGCCAGGUAACCCUCCUUCUUACAGACCCUGAAGCUGAGGCGGACAGAGGGCAGCCGACUUGCCGGAGCUCACACGGUCGGCUUUAGGGGUAAAUGUCCGGGGGGUGGCAGGGUCCCUCUUCUCUGCCCCUUUGGAAUUAGAUGUAGCCUAGUGACCUAUUUGACACCAUAAAGUGUUGGUAGAAGUUGCCUGGAGCUCAGCGGGAUGGGAGCUUGAAGAACUUGCCUCCUGUCCUCGAAGCACACGGUGAAGGUGAAAUGAAGCUUCUGUCCCUCCGGGUCCCCGAGCGACUAGACGAGCAGGGCCCACCUGGCAACCAGGGUACCGAGUGGGCGACACGUGCUCAUACGCGAAGCUCGUGAGACGGGGGCGGGAUUGUCGUCACAGCAGAGCCUGGGUUCCCCCGACCAGACUCGCACCGCUGGGAGCAGGAGCUCGGGCAGCCAAGGCCUCGUCCGGCUUCCCGUGGCCUUACCUGCGGCGUGGGCGGCCGCGCUCCGGAGCCUCACCCACCAGGGACGUGGCCCCCUCACCCACUGCACUAUUCUUGGAUUGCAGGAGCCGAUCGCUCACGGCACGAAGGGAAGACAGCUGCAGAAUUCCAGCCGCCGACAGGAGGUUUUAGACGGACAUGGACAGCUUGGCUCUGCUGGCUGAUGGAGCAGACACGGCCUUCCCCAAAGCGCUGUCCCGGACCGGCUUCUCUUAGUAAAGAGAGCAUCGUCGCGAGAACGAGCUUUUCAUAAAGUAUUGAGGUCAGCAACACCUCAAUGCUAAAGAUGUAAAGUCAAGGUUAACUGACCAGGUUUGUAUCUGAUUUUUCAGAAAGUUGCAAAGAUUUAUUAAGAAUAAUUCGUGACACAACCUAACAGGCUUAUUACUUGCUAUUUGGCAAAUCAUUAACACAGAAACAGGUGGUACUGACAUCAAAAAUGCUCAACUAAUUUUUCAAUAACAUUUUUGAUCAGUUAAAGGAAUCCAACUAGAAUUUUUAAAAAGCAGUUUCUACAUGCAAAGAGUAUCAUUUAUAUUAUAUUUAACUAAUGACAGAGAAGAUUAUACAAAAGAAGAUUUUUAAAUACUGAUUUACAUAUAUUUAUUCUUAUUAAAAAUGUUUAGUAAGGGAUCCCUGGGUGGCGCAGCGGUUUGGCGCCUGCCUUUGGCCCAGGGCACGAUCCUGGAGACCCGGGAUCGAAUCCCACAUCGGGCUCCCGGUGCAUGGAGCCUGCUUCUCCCUCUGCCUGUGUCUCUGCCUCUCUCUCUCUCUCUGUGUGACUAUCAUAAAUAAAUAAAAAUUUAAAAAAAUUAAAAAAAAAUGU
rnacentral:lncRNA from 12 species